GACGAACCGUACGAACGUUAUUCGGAAUUACUGGGCUUAAAGGGUGCGUAGGCGGCGCGGUAAGUCGGGUGUGAAAUCUCGGGGCUUAACUCCGAAACUGCAUUCGAUACUGCCGUGCUUGAGGACUGGAGAGGAGACUGGAAUUUACGGUGUAGCGGUGAAAUGCGUAGAGAUGUGGAGGAACACCGAUGGCGAAGGCAGCCCCCCUGGGUCAAGAUUGACGCUCAUGCACGAAAGCGUGGGGAGCAAACAGG
rnacentral:rRNA from 1 species